AAAAUGAAUUAACACACUAAAAAGGAUGCUAAUGGAAUCUGCAGAUACAAUUUCAGCCAUUGGUAGCCCAAUUCAAUCAUUGAAUCGCUGAAGCGACAAAGAAUCGUGUUUCCAAAGUGAUUAUUCAUAUUGAUAGCGGGACAAUCGAAGAUUUGGAUUCAACCUUUCAUGGGAAGUGGGAACCAAUUUCAAUUUCUCACAAUACACUACUUUGUCGUUGAAAACAAGUGAGGGAUGUGAAACAAAAACAACAACCCUUUAAAGAACAAUUUCUUCUGUUUUAUUUCACUGAGAGUUUCU
rnacentral:lncRNA from 1 species